rnacentral:rRNA from 1 species
GAUGAACGCUGGCGGCGUGCCUAAUACAUGCAAGUCGAGCGAACAGACGAGGAGCUUGCUCCUCUGACGUUAGCGGCGGACGGGUGAGUAACACGUGGAUAACCUACCUAUAAGACUGGGAUAACUUCGGGAAACCGGAGCUAAUACCGGAUAAUAUAUUGAACCGCAUGGUUCAAUAGUUAAAGACGGUUUUGCUGUCACUUAUAGAUGGAUCCGCGCCGCAUUAGCUAGUUGGUAAGGUAACGGCUUACCAAGGCAACGAUGCGUAGCCGACCUGAGAGGGUGAUCGGCCACACUGGAACUGAGACACGGUCCAGACUCCUACGGGAGGCAGCAGUAGGGAAUCGUCCGCAAAGGGCGAAAGCCUGACGGAGCAACGCCGCGUGAGUGAUGAAGGUCUGCGGAUCGUAAAACUCUGUUAUUAGGGAAGAACAAAUGUGUAAGUAACUAUGCACGUCUUGACGGUACCUAAUCAGAAAGCCACGGCUAACUACGUG